rnacentral:rRNA from 1 species
UGAGGAAUAUUGGUCAAUGGACGGGAGUCUGAACCAGCCAAGUAGCGUGAAGGAUGACUGCCCUAUGGGUUGUAAACUUCUUUUAUACGGGAAUAAAGUGAUCCACGUGUGGAUUUUUGUAUGUACCGUAUGAAUAAGGAUCGGCUAACUCCGUGCCAGCAGCCGCGGUAAUACGGAGGAUCCGAGCGUUAUCCGGAUUUAUUGGGUUUAAAGGGAGCGUAGGUGGAUUGUUAAGUCAGUUGUGAAAGUUUGCGGCUCAACCGUAAAAUUGCAGUUGAUACUGGCAGUCUUGAGUACAGUAGAGGUGGGCGGAAUUCGUGGUGUAGCGGUGAAAUGCUUAGAUAUCACGAAGAACUCCGAUUGCGAAGGCAGCUCACUGGACUGCAACUGACACUGAUGCUCGAAAGUGUGGGUAUCAAACAGGAUUAGAUACCCUGGUAGUCCACACAGUAAACGAUGAAUACUCGCUGUUUGCGAUAUACGGUAAGCGGCCAAGCGAAAGCGUUAAGUAUUCCACCUGGGGAGUACGCCGGCAACGGUGAAACUCAAAGGAAUUGACGGGGGCCCGCACAAGCGGAGGAACAUGUGGUUUAAUUCGAUGAUACGCGAGGAACCUUACCCGGGCUUAAAUUACAUUUGAAUAAUCUGGAAACAGUUUAGCCGUAAGGCAAAUGUGAAGGUGCUGCAUGGUUGUCGUCAGCUCGUGCCGUGAGGUGUCGGCUUAAGUGCCAUAACGAGCGCAACCCUUAUCUUCAGUUACUAACAGGUCAUGCUGAGGACUCUGGAGAGACUGCCGUCGUAAGAUGUGAGGAAGGUGGGGAUGACGUCAAAUCAGCACGGCCCUUACGUCCGGGGCUACACACGUGUUACAAUGGGGGGUACAGAAGGCAGCUACCUGGUGACGGGAUGCUAAUCCCAAAAACCUCUCUCAGUUCGGAUCGAAGUCUGCAACCCGACUUCGUGAAGCUGGACUCGCUAGUAAUCGCGCAUCAGCCAUGGCGCGGUGAAUACGUUCCC